GAUCCUGGCUCAGGAUGAACGCUAGCUACAGGCUUAACACAUGCAAGUCGAGGGGAAACGACAUCGAAAGCUUGCUUUUGAUGGGCGUCGACCGGCGCACGGGUGAGUAACGCGUGGAUAACCUGCCUCACACAGGGGGAUAACAGUUAGAAAUGACUGCUAAUACCGCAUAAGCGCACGGUACCGCAUGGUACAGUGUGAAAAACUCCGGUGGUGUGAGAUGGAUCCGCGU
rnacentral:rRNA from 1 species